UACGUAGGGUGCAGGCGUUAAUCGGAAUUACUGGGCGUAAAGCGUGCGCAGGCGGUUUGCUAAGACAGGUGUGAAAUCCCCCGGGCUUAACCUGGGAACUGCGCUUGUAACUGGCAAGCUAGAGUGUGGCAGAGGGGGGUGGAAUUCCACGUGUAGCAGUGAAAUGCGUAGAGAUGUGGAGGAACACCGAUGGCGAAGGCAGCCCCCUGGGCUAACACUGACGCUCAUGCACGAAAGCGUGGGGAGCAAACAGG
rnacentral:rRNA from 1 species